rnacentral:rRNA from 1 species
CAGUAGCCGCGGUAACACGUAGGUGGCAAGCGUUGUCCGGAAUUAUUGGGCGUAAAGGGCUCGCUGGCGGUUUCUUAAGUCUGAUGUGAAAGCCCCCGGCUCAACCGGGGAGGGUCAUUGGAAACUGGGAAACUUGAGUGCAGAAGAGGAGAGUGGAAUUCCACGUGUAGCGGUGAAAUGCGUAGAGAUGUGGAGGAACACCAGUGGCGAAGGCGACUCUCUGGUCUGUAACUGACGCUGAGGAGCGAAAGCGUGGGGAGCGAACAGGAUUAGAUACCCCAGUAGUCCCUGUCUCUUAUAC